rnacentral:rRNA from 1 species
UCCCAUGUUGCCAGCGGGUUACGUCGGGGACUCAUGGGAGACUGCCGGUGACAAAUCGGAGGAAGGUGGGGAUGACGUCAAGUCAUCAUGCCCCUUAUGUCCUGGGCUACAAACGUGCUACAUUGGCCGGUACAAAGGGCUGCAAACCCGCGAGGGUGAGCGAAUCCCAAAAAGCCGGUCCCGGUUCGGAUUGGAGGCUGCAACUCGCCUCCAUGAAGGCGGAGUUGCUAGUAAUCGCGGAUCAGCAACGCCGCGGUGAAUACGUUCCCGGGCCUUGUACACACCGCCCGUCACACCACGAAAGUCGGCAACACCCGAAGCCGGUGGGCUAACCGCAAGGAGACAGCCGUCGAAGGUGGGGUCGAUGAUUGGGGUGAAGUCGUAACAAGGUAAUGGCAA